rnacentral:rRNA from 1 species
UACGUAGGGACCAAGCGUUGUUCGGAUUUACUGGGCGUAAAGGGCGCGUAGGCGGCGCGGUAAGUCACUUGUGAAAUCUCUGAGCUUAACUCAGAACGGCCAAGUGAUACUGCAGUGCUAGAGUGUGGAAGGGGCAAUCGGAAUUCUUGGUGUAGCGGUGAAAUGCGUAGAUAUCAAGAGGAACACCUGAGGUGAAGACGGGUUGCUGGGCCAACACUGACGCUGAGGCGCGAAAGCCAGGGGAGCAAACGGGGA